GUCACGCUGUAAACGAUGUCGAUUUGGAGUUUGGGGGCAUGACCCUUGGGCUCCGGAGCUAACGCGUUAAAUCGACCGCUGGGGAGUACGGCCGCAAGGUUAAAACUCAAAUGAAUUGACGGGGGCCCGCACAGCGGUGGAGCAUGUGGUUUAAUUCGAUGCAACGCGAAGAACCUUACCUGGUCUUGACAUCCAUAGAAUCUUUCAGAGAUGAGAGAGUGCCUUCGGGAGCUAUGAGACAGGUGCUGCAUGGCUGUCGUCAGCUCGUGUUGUGAAAUGUUGGGUUAAGUCCCGCAACGAGCGCAACCCCUAUCCUUUGUUGCCAGCACGUAAUGGUGGGAACUCAAAGGAGACUGCCGUUGAUAAAGCGGAGGAAGGUGGGGACGACGUCAAGUCAUCAUGGCCCUUACGACCAGGGCUACACACGUGCUACAAUGGCGUAUACAAAGGGAUGCGAAGGUGCGAACUGGAGCGGACCUCACAAAGUACGUCUAAGUCCGGAUUGGAGUCUGCAACUCGACUCCAUGAAGUCGGAAUCGCUAGUAAUCGUGAAUCAGAAUGUCACGGUGAAUACGUUCCCGGGCCUUGUACACACCGCCCGUCACACCAUGGGAGUGGGUUGCACCAGAAGUAGAUAGCUUAACCUUCGGGAGGGCGUUUACCACGGUGUGGUUCAUGACUGGGGUGAAGUCGUAACAAGGUAACCA
rnacentral:rRNA from 1 species